CUUCUCCCAUUUUUUUUCUCAAACAGAUAUGAUUGGAGGGGGAAUUUAUAAAAAUCCAUUUACCUGUGGUUUUCCUUUUAUUCGUUCGAGGACGACAUUCUUUAAGUGCAAUUUUUAAUUAAGUCGUCUUAAUUCUCCUUAAGUCCCCUAAACCCCCCGGCCAGGUGUCCCCGCUGGUGGUAGUGUGAGGACUGAUGUGAUCAUUGAUGCUGUGGAGAUGGAAUGUAAUAAAUGUCACAUUCUUCAUUUUCUUAACUCAGAUUAUCUGGCUCGCCCCCUGCCGUGGACACUGCUGGUGACCUGCCCCACCUCCACUCCAGUGCUCUCCCUUCCUGACCCGAUUUCUUCCAGAUGGUCACCCUUCUCCACGCUAGCCCCAGCCCAGAUCUGAAUCCCUCCGAAGCAGCACCUGCACUGAGACUUCCAUCUCCGGCGGAGCUUCCACACCUGGGGACAUAGAACAGAGCUGUGCAUCAUUUGCUCCUCAGGGUUUAAACCUAACUUGAGGAAGCAAGCCUGUGAGUAGCUAAUUAAUAGACUUUUUUUUUUUUUUUUUACAAUUGCAUAUACCUGGCAUUUUUCUGAUUAAAUUUCCAAGCUGAUUAAAAAUGAGACCAGAGAAUUAAUAAGCAUUUUUUCCUUCCUUGUGGAGCUGAAAACUAGCUGGGGAGGCCCCUAGGCAAGCUCCUGAGUUGGGAGAUGUGCCAAAAAAGAGAGGAAGUCUGCAGGCACAAAAGUCAGAAAUAGGAUAAGCAGAAUUUUUCUCUCUCUUUCCCUCUCUCCCCUCACACAAGCACCAAUCUUUUUAUGCUCCAGUUUUCAGCACACAGAAAUUUCUGGUUCUUAUCUACUAGCAGCCAGAAAUACAGAAACCCCUGCAGAAUCACAAGCCCAGGAUUUCAACUAUAGCCAUUCGCUGUGUCCUGCCAAUCAACAUACAUUCCGUGGUGUUGCUGCUCCCCGGCGCCAGCCAGCCCGAGCCCUGCCCUGAGCUCCUGGGGCUCUGCCCUGAGCACCCCAUCCUGGUUAGAAGACACAUUGGCAACUCACCUUUGUUAAGAAUGUGCAGUUGCAACCACGCGGCAAAGAGAGAUUAGGACAUAACAGAGGCUCUCUCUCCUUGAUGUCAUUUUAUAAAUACAUAUAUAUACGCAGACAGAGGGAAAGAAGACUUCAAAGAAAAAAUUACUAAAAUAGGUGCCCAAAACAGCCUCUGUAGAUGGAGCCUUUUUCAAACCAUGUGGUUCUGACGGGUGUUUCUAACAUGCGGCAAGAGGUGGGCACCUGAUCCAGGAUGGGCCAAUCACAAAGUCUCAACCCUCAGUCACUGGGAUUGGUCCACAAAUAGACAUGUGACCAAAGUCCAGCCAAUCAGAAUUCUAUGCUGGGUU
rnacentral:lncRNA from 1 species